UGUUUCCCCCUCAGGCGUCCAAUAAAGAUUCGCCGCACUACCCCAGCUACGACGCCUACUACUCCCCCACCUAUGCCAACAGGGGUGGAGUCGGGCCGAGCGGAGAGUGUCGAAGCCGCCAUGUGGUACAGACAGGAGCCCAACUCGCGUCUGUGGUCCUCCGUCUACCCCAGCAAAUACUCGGAGGCUCCGAAACCGCAGGAGGACGACAGGUGGAAGGAGGAGCGGGACAGGAAGGUGAAGGAAGAGAGGCUGCGGCCCAAGGAGAGCCUCCAGAAAGAUGAGUCGGCAAAGGAGGCUCGGAGGGCAGGACACAGCUGGCCUCCGAGGAGCUCCACGGGGGCGGGAAGGAGGCGCGCCGAGCCACCCCGGGUACAGAGGCAUGCCCUCGGUCAUGAUGCAGAAUUACCCAGGCUGCCAGCCAGUUACUACGCUUCCUCAUACGGCGGGAAGGUGGUCGCAGGCGAGGACGGCGAGAAGCCCUCCAGGUCAAGUCCGUCUGUGAAGCUGUCCAGUGAGGCCAAAGAUCUGGACCUGCUGCAGCUGCACGACAGCCAGUACAAAAGCAAGUCGCUGUCCAUCCAGGACAGCAAGACGCCGCAUGAGCGGGAGCGGGAGAGAAAGGGAGGGCGACCAGCCACGCUCCUCGCCCUCGCAACGCAUCAGUCCCAUCACCACCUGGGAUACCCUCUGUACGACCUGUCCUACCCCUCAGGCACACUUGAUUGGCCAGCCUCUAUGCCUCUCAGUCAUGUGACUGGAUCAAGUGAAGAAGCGUUUUUGUUUCCGUGACAUCAGUUCAUGGUGUUCUGUGUAUGUUUGACAUCUCUGCCUGGACGUCCAGCCGACUGCUCUGACCCUUGCUGGACCGGAUCCUGGUCCCGUUUGGUUUUGCCGGUUCUGGGCGGUCCCGUUAGCCAACAGGUGCUGCUGGGAUGCAGGUGGGCAGAAUUCACAGUGACGUACCUGCAGGGACGACUGGGCACUCUGUCAUUUUACGGCACUCGGAUUGGGUUUUUAUGUCCUGCGGUGACGUCUGACCUCUUUUAGAAGGACGGGCUCAGCUCUGGAUGACAUCACACCAUUACCUGGAUGCAUUUCAGCUUCACGUGAAAUAAAGAGAACACUGUGGAUGAAGGGGGGCCGGCCUCCUACUCUUCUUUUUGUCUGAGAGAAGCUGAUGUCGUGAAAUGUCUUCAGGUCCUGGGAUGAUGGAAGGCAGGAGGAAUUCGCUCAGAUUAAAGGGUUCUUCUUUCAAA